GAUGAACGCUAGCUACAGGCUUAACACAUGCAAGUCGAGGGGUAACGAGAGGAAAGCUUGCUUUCCUUGUCGACGACCGGCGCACGGGUGAGUAACGCGUAUCCAACCUGCCCCCAACUAGGGAAUAACCUUGCGAAAGUAAGACUAAUACCCUAUAAUUUCCUCAGAUGACAUCUGACGAGGAAUAAAGAUUUAUCGGUUGUGGAUGGGGAUGCGUCUGAUUAGCUUGUUGGCGGGGUAACGGCCCACCAAGGCAACGAUCAGUAGGGGUUCUGAGAGGAAGGUCCCCAACAUUGGAACGGAGACACGGUCCAAACUCCUACGGGAGGCAGCAGUGAGGAAUAUUGGUCAAUGGGCGGAAGCCUGAACCAGCCAAGUAGCGUGCAGGAUGACGGCCCUAUGGGUUGUAAACUGCUUUUAUACAGGAAUAAAGUUAGCCACGUGUGGUUAUUUGUAGGUACUGUAUGAAUAAGGACCGGCUAAUUCCGUGCCAGCCGCCGCCGUAA
rnacentral:rRNA from 1 species